rnacentral:rRNA from 1 species
AGUGAACGCUGGCGGUAGGCCUAACACAUGCAAGUCGAACGGCAGCACAGGAGAGCUCGCUCUCUGGGUGGCGAGUGGCGGACGGGUGAGGAAUACAUCGGAAUCUACCUUUUCGUGGGGGAUAACGUAGGGAAACUUACGCUAAUACCGCAUACGACCUUCGGGUGAAAGCAGGGGACCUUCGGGCCUUGCGCGGAUAGAUGAGCCGAUGUCGGAUUAGCUAGUUGGCGGGGUAAAGGCCCACCAAGGCGACGAUCCGUAGCUGGUCUGAGAGGAUGAUCAGCCACACUGGAACUGAGACACGGCCCAGACUCCUACGGGAGGCAGCAGUGGGGACUAUUGGACAAUGGGCGCAAGCCUGAUCCAGCCAUACCGCGUGGGUGAAGAAGGCCUUCGGGUUGUAAAGCCCUUUUGUUGGGAAAGAAAAGCAGCCAGUUAAUACCUGGUUGUUCUGACGGUACCCAAAGAAUAAGCACCGGCUAACUUCGUGCCAGCCGCCGCGGUAC